rnacentral:rRNA from 1 species
GUCCACGCCCUAAACGAUGUCAACUAGGUGUUGGGUGGGUAAAACCAUUUAGUACCGAAGCUAACGCAUGAAGUUGACCGCCUGGGGAGUACGGCCGCAAGGUUAAAACUCAAAGGAAUUGACGGGGACCCGCACAAGCGGUGGAUGAUGUGGAUUAAUUCGACGCAACGCGAAAAACCUUACCUACCCUUGACAUGUCAGGAACUUUCCAGAGAUGGAUUGGUGCCCGAAAGGGAGCCUGAACACAGGUGCUGCAUGGCUGUCGU